AUUGAACGCUGGCGGCGUGCUUUACACAUGCAAGUCGAGCGGCAGCAUGGUUGGGUAACUAACUGAUGGCGAGCGGCGAACGGGUGAGUAAGACAUCGGGACAUGCCUAUUAGUGGGGGAUAACCUAUCGAAAGAUGGGCUAAUACCGCAUAAUCUCUGAGGAGGAAAGCUGGGGACUAGAAAUGGCCUGGCGCUGAUAGAGUGACCGAUGGUCGAUUGGUUAGUUGGUGGGGUAAAGGCUUACCAAGGCGAUGAUCGAUAGCUGUUCUGAGAGGAAGAUCAGCCACACUGGGACUGAGACACGGCCCAGACUCCUACGGGAGGCAGCAGUGGGGAAUUUUGGACAAUGGGGGCAACCCUGAUCCAGCAACGCCGCGUGAAUGAAGAAGGCCUUAGGGUUGUAAAGUUCUUUUAUCCGAGGUCAAAAGUUGCAUGUUAACAGCAUGUGAUGCUGAGAGUAUCGGAAGAAUAAGCACC
rnacentral:rRNA from 1 species